CCUACGGGCGGCAGCAGUGAGGAAUAUUGGUCAAUGGACGAGAGUCUGAACCAGCCAAGUAGCGUGAAGGAUGACGGCCCUAUGGGUUGUAAACUUCUUUUAUAUGGGAAUAAAACGUUCCACGUGUGGGAGUUUGAAUGUAUCAUAUGAAUAAGGAUCGGCUAACUCCGUGCCAGCAGCCGCGGUAAUACGGAGGAUUCGAGCGUUAUCCGGAUUUAUUGGGUUUAAAGGGAGCGUAGGUGGAUUGUUAAGUCAGUUGUGAAAGUCUGCGGCUCAACCGUGAAAUUGCAGUUGAAACUGGUAGGCUUGAGUACAGUAGAGGUGGGCGGAAUGUGUGGUGUAGCGGUGAAAUGCUUAGAUAUCACGAAGAACUCCGAUUGCGAAGGCAGCUUACUGGACUGCAACUGACACUGAGGCACGAAAGCGUGGGUAGCAAACAGGAUUAGAUACCCGUGUAGUC
rnacentral:rRNA from 1 species